AGGUGGUGCAUGGUUAUCGUCAGCUCGUGUCGUGAGAUGUUGGGUUAAGUCCCGCACAAGCGCAACCCCUACGUUUAGUUGCUAACGCGUGAAGGCGAGCACUCUAGACGAACUGCCGUUGACAAAACGGAGGAAGGUGGGAUGACGUCAAAUCAUCAUGCCCCUUAUGUUCUGGGCUACACACGUGCUACAAUGGCCGGUACAGACGGACGCAAAGCCGCGAGGUGGAGCAAAUCCUAAAAAGCCGGUCUCAGUUCGGAUUGCAGGCUGCAAUUCGCCUGCAUGAAGUCGGAAUCGCUAGUAAUCGCAGGUCAGCAUACUGCGGUGAAUACGUUCCCGGGCCUU
rnacentral:rRNA from 1 species